UACGUAGGUGGCAAGCGUUUGUCCGGAUUUACUGGGCGUAAAGAGCGCGCAGGCGGUCGGAUAAGUCGAAUGUGAAAGCCCCCGGCUCAACUGGGGAGGGUCAUUCGAUACUGUUCGACUCGAAGGCAGGAGAGGGAAGUGGAAUUCCCGGUGUAGUGGUGAAAUGCGUAGAUAUCGGGAGGAACACCAGUGGCGAAGGCGACUUCCUGGCCUGUUCUUGACGCUGAGGCGGCGAAAGCUGAGGGGAGCAAACGGGG
rnacentral:rRNA from 1 species